AUUGAACGCUGGCGGCAGGCCUAACACAUGCAAGUCGAACGAGUGGCGGACGGGUGAGUAAUGUCUGGGAAACUGCCUGAUGGAGGGGGAUAACUACUGGAAACGGUAGCUAAUACCGCCUACCAUCGGAUUUGCCCAGAUGGGAUUAGCUAGUAGGUGGGGUAAAGGCUCACCUAGGCGACGAUCCCUAGCUGGUCUGAGAGGAUGACAAGCAACACUGGAACUGAGAAAGGGUCCAGAAUCGUACGGGAGGCAGAAGUGGGGAAUAUUGCACAAUGGGCGCAAGCCUGAUGCAGCCAUGCCGCGUGUAUGAAGAAGGCCUUCGGGUUGGAAAGUACUUUCAGCGGGGAGGCGUUACCCGCAGAAGAAGCACAGGCUAACUCCGUGCCAGCAGCCGCGGUAAUAC
rnacentral:rRNA from 1 species